rnacentral:misc_RNA from 1 species
GUAUUUGUUUUGCCAUUGCUAGCGGUUACAUUCUGUUAUACUUUAAGUGUUUGUAAGUAGAGGUGUCACCCCGGCCUCACCUCUCGUCCUCCCAGAGGGAGGUCAAAAGGGAAGCUGCUCCAAAUUGGAGGGCAGCACCUCAAUGGUUCACAGGUGUAGAGUGGAUUGAGCGGGGCGAGCACAUGCCUCGAAAGGCCAGCAUCAAACCCACAUCAAAACUCGAUAAUGAUCCUUCCGCAGGUUCACCUACGGAAA